AUUAAACGCUGGCGGCAUGCCUUACACAUGCAAGUCGAACGGCAGCACGGGGCAACCUGGUGGCGAGUGGCGAACGGGUGAGUAAAGCAUCGGAACGUGCCCUGGAGUGGGGGAUAACGCAGCGAAAGUUACGCUAAUACCGCAUAUUCUGUGAGCAGGAAAGCAGGGGAUCGCAAGACCUUGCGCUCUGGGAGCGGCCGAUGUCGGAUUAGCUAGUUGGUGGGGUAAAGGGCCUACCAAGGCGACGAUCCGUAGCGGGUCGUGAGAGGAUGAUCCGCCACACUGGGACGUGAGACACGGCCCAGACUCCUACGGGAGGCAGCAGUGGGGAA
rnacentral:rRNA from 1 species